rnacentral:rRNA from 1 species
GCUGAAUGUGGGGAUAAUUUAUCUCCGUGUUGUAGCUAACGCGUUAAGCACUCCGCCUGGGGACUACGGUCGCAAGACUAAAACUCAAAGGAAUUGACGGGGACCCGCACAAGCGGUGGAGCAUGUGGUUUAAUUCGAUGCAACGCGAAAAACCUUACCACUCCUUGACAUGGAGAUUAGAUCCUUCUUAACAGAAGGGCGCAGUUCGGCUGGAUCUCGCACAGGUGCUGCAUGGCUGUCGUCAGCUCGUGUCGUGAGAUGUUGGGUUAAGUCCCGCAACGAGCGUAACCCUCAUCCUUAGUUGCCAGCGGGUAAUGCCGGGCACUUUAAGGAAACUGCCGGUGGUAAACUGGAGGAAGGUGGGGAUGAUGUCAAGUCAGCACGGCCCUUAUGGGGUGGGCUACACACGUGCUACAAUGGUGACUACAAUAGGUUGCAAUGUCGCAAGGCUGAGCUAAUCCGUAAAAGUCAUCUCAGUUCGGAUUGUCCUCUGCAACUCGAGGGCAUGAAGUCGGAAUCGCUAGUAAUCGUGGAUCAGCAUGCCACGGUGAAUACGUUCUCGGGUCUUGUACACACUGCCCGUCACGCCAUGGGAAUUGGCUUAACUCGAAGCUGGUGCGCUAACCGAAAGGAAGCAGCCAU